CUUGGUCAUUUAGAGGAAGUAAAAGUCGUAACAAGGUUUCCGUAGGUGAACCUGCGGAAGGAUCAUUAGUGAAACUUCAAAGUCGGCUCGUCCCUACUGUGCUGGUGGAGACACAUGUGCACGUUCGGCGGGUCGCAAAAUCCACACACCUGUGCAUCUAUGACUCUGAGUGCCGCUUUGCGUGGCCUUGACCGGCCUGGCGCUCGAGUACUUUCACACACUCUGGAAUGUAACGGAAUGUCUUGUUGUGCGUAAUGUACAAAUAAAACAACUUUCAACAACGGAUCUCUUGGCUCUCGCAUCGAUGAAGAACGCAGCGAAAUGCGAUAAGUAAUGUGAAUUGCAGAAUUCAGUGAAUCAUCGAAUCUUUGAACGCACCUUGCACCCUUUGGUAUUCCGAAGGGUACACCCGUUUGAGUGUCAUUGUAAUCUCACUGCGAUCGACUUUAUGGUCUUUCCGUAUGUGGACUUGGAUGUUGCCGUGGAUCUCCAGGGCUCGUCUGAAAUGCAUGAGUGUACCCCGCUUUGCGGCGUAUUCGGUGUGAUAAAUCUUCACCGGAGUUGAUCCUUUUCGGGUCGCGUCUCACGAGUGUGGCUCUAUGCUUCCAACCGUCUGAUCUCGGACAACCUCUGACAAUUUGACCUCAAAUCGGGUGGGACUACCCGCUGAACUUAAGCAUAUCAAUAAGCGGAGGA
rnacentral:rRNA from 1 species